rnacentral:misc_RNA from 1 species
AUAAUGAACCACUCUUGGGUCGAGUCUUUGCUAGCUUGCUGGUAUUGAUUCCCCUCGAGUAUUAACCACUGUGCACUGUAUUGUUUUUUGGGGGAUGUUAGUGUGAUGGGUGAAAGUUUUGCGAAAGCUCGACCGAAACCAGUCCUGCCCCCAGCAUUUUAAAACCAACCUAUUUAAUCAACCUGAAUUUUUUCGUAAUGAAAUAAAUA